rnacentral:tRNA from 1 species
AGAGGUUUAGGUUAAAUCAGACCGAGAGCCUUCAAAGCUCUAAGUAAGUAUAAUUUCACUUAACCCCUG